GACGAACGCUGGCGGCGUGCUUAACACAUGCAAGUCGAACGAUGAAGCUGGAGCUUGCUCUAGCGGAUUAGUGGCGAACGGGUGAGUAACACGUGAGCAAUCUGCCCUUGACUCUGGGAUAACUGCGGGAAACUGUAGCUAAUACCGGAUACUUUCACCGGGGGGCAUCCUCUGGUGAUGAAAGAAUUUCGGUCAAGGAUGAGCUCGCGGCCUAUCAGCUUGUUGGUGAGGUAACGGCUCACCAAGGCGACGACGGGUAGCCGGCCUGAGAGGGUGACCGGCCACACUGGGACUGAGACACGGCCCAGACUCCUACGGGAGGCAGCAGUGGGGAAUAUUGCACAAUGGGCGCAAGCCUGAUGCAGCAACGCCGCGUGAGGGAUGACGGCCUUCGGGUUGUAAACCUCUUUUAGUAGGGAAGAAGCGAAAGUGACGGUACCUGCAGAAAAAGCACCGGCUAACUACGUGCCAGCCGCCGCCGUAA
rnacentral:rRNA from 1 species